rnacentral:rRNA from 1 species
UACGAAGGGGGCUAGCGUUGUUCGGAAUUACUGGGCGUAAAGCGCGCGCAGGCGGUUUCUCAAGUCAGUGGUGAAAGCCCGGAGCUCAACUCCGGAACUGCCAUUGAAACUGUGAGACUUGAGGACGAGAGAGGUGAGUGGAAUUCCCAGUGUAGAGGUGAAAUUCGUAGAUAUUGGGAAGAACACCGGUGGCGAAGGCGGCCCACUGGUCCGGUACUGACGCUGAGGUGCGAAAGCGUGGGGAGCAAACAGG